UGGGGGUGAGGCAGCAUUUUCCUUGCGAUAGUAACUUCUAGUUAAUACAUAUUUAUACUUACUCCGAGCUUUAAGGUUUCUUACAUCCUUGGCCAUCACAUAUAGGAGUGCAACGUAGCCUCUCCGCAGGCAUCUCGUAGUUCACGUACUUCAGAAAGUCUGUGAGAUGCCUGCCAAAACCCAACAUGGUUGAGCCGUUCUGCGCAUCUUGCUUGCGCAGCGAUUUCGUCUCUAGGGUAUGCAUGUGGGGAGGAUUUGUCAUCCAAGAUGGCGGAUUGCAUGUAGUGAAGAAUCAUGAGAAUUAGUGAAUUUAUAUUAAUACGCUUGCUAAAGGCGGCUAAACGAUUAAGAAUACAGCUUUUGUGGACAAUUGAAAGAAUCUUAACCCGGAAAUUAAAAUUUUCAUCAAAUAAUUUACAUGUUGUCAGUUGAGGGACUGGUCAUAAAGUAAAAGAGGGGGUGGGCAUGGAAAAAUAGGGGGGGUGGGUCACUAUUUUUCAGCACGGUUGAAGGGGUGGGUCAUCAAAAGUUAAGUGGAAUCAAAAGUGUGGGUCAUGUAAAAACAUGCAGAAUUUUUUUCAAGGGCAUGUGUAUUAAAAUUCAUAUUAUAAAAAUAGAAAUAAAAUGUAUCAGGAUCCAUGUGUAAAAUUUAUACUGCAAACGUUAACCUCAAACUUAAAAGCUGAAUUUACUGUUUUGGCUAAUACGUUAGUAGUGACUAACUAAUUUUCUGAUAAUCAUUAUUGCUAAAUGUCACAAGCUUUGUGCAGGAUGUUUAUUAUGUAACAAAAUUAGUGUAAUUUCUACAAGAGCGUAGUUAAAUUACAAUCCUCGUUAGCGGUUUGGUGUUAGCUGUAAAUGUCAAACUAAAGGUCUCUAAUUAUAUGAGAAAGAUACUGCACAAUGCAGUAUGCAUGGGAAGUUCCAUGCAAAGAAAGACCUUUCUGUAUUUAAUUCAGGGCCUCUUUUAACAUAUAGACUGGGGAGGACAUGUCCCCCCCCAGCCCUCUUACUUAUCCCUCCAGUCUGCAAUUUUGUGCCCCCCCCCUCCCGUGAGGUCCCUAAGAACUACCUGCAGUAGGUGGUCAACCAGCAAUUAUGUAUCAAAGUGAGAGAACGAUGUUAAGUUGUUAACAUUUCAGAAUUUUACCAUCAUCUGCAGGCCUGUAACUAGCUAUGAGUCCACCGAACUAAACAUCGCCAGAAACCUAAACCAUGACUGAAAUAAUUUGCUUGUGGAACAGGG